rnacentral:tRNA from 1 species
GCAUCCGGAUAGGUUGUGCGCAUCCGGAUAGGUUAAUAACCUAUCCAGAUGUUCGUUACCUAUCCGGAUGUUCGUUACCUAUCCGGAUGUUC